GGAAGGCAGCAGGCGCGCAACUUACCCUAAUCUCGAUUCGAGGAGGUAGUGACAAGAAAUACCGAUGCGGGACCCUACGGGUGCCGCGUUCGGAAUGAGUACGAUUCGAACCACCUAACGAGGAACGAUCGGAGGGCAAGUCUGGUGCCAGCAGCCGCGGUAAUUCCAGCUCCAAUAGCGUACGUUAAAGUUGCUGCAGUUAAAAAGCUCGUAGUUGAACGUUCGGGUUCCGCGGGACGGGGCCGCCCCGCGAGGGACGGCGCCGCCCCGGGGCUCGUGAUAUCUUAUCUCGCCGCCCGUCGCGAGGCGGACGGAGGGAUGGAUGAGGUUACCUGGAAAAAAUCGGGGCGAUCUAGGCGGGCGAACCUCGCCAACGAACGAUCGGACAUGGGAUAACGGAAGAGGGCGUCGGCUCGACUUCGUCGGUUCCUCGGGCCCGAGGCACGUACGGUGAAUAGGGACGGUCGGGGCCGCCCGUACCGGGUCGUGAGAGGUGAAAUUCUAGGAUCGACCGAGACGAACUGCCGCGAAAGCAUUCGGCAAGGACGC
rnacentral:rRNA from 1 species